GCCUGGCUGGCUCAGUUGGUAGAGCAUGUGACUCUUGAUCUCCGGGUCCUGAGUUCGAGCUCCAUGCCAGGCA
rnacentral:tRNA from 1 species